GAUGAACGCUGGCGGCGUGCCUAAUGCAUGCAAGUCGAGCGAACAGACGAGGAGCUUGCUCCUCUGACGUUAGCGGCGGACGGGUGAGUAACACGUGGAUAACCUACCUAUAAGACUGGGAUAACUUCGGGAAACCGGAGCUAAUACCGGAUAAUAUAUUGAACCGCAUGGUUCAAUAGUGAAAGACGGUUUUGCUGUCACUUAUAGAUGGAUCCGCGCCGCAUUAGCUAGUUGGUAAGGUAACGGCUUACCAAGGCAAUGAUGCGUAGCCGACCUGAGAGGGUGAUCGGCCACACUGGAACUGAGACACGGUCCAGACUCCUACGGGAGGCAGCAGUAGGGAAUCUUCCGCAAUGGGCGAAAGCCUGACGGAGCAACGCCGCGUGAGUGAUGAAGGUCUUCGGAUCGUAAAACUCUGUUAUUAGGGAAGAACAAAUGUGUAAGUAACUAUGCACGUCUUGACGGUACCUAAUCAGAAAGCCACGGCUAACUACGUG
rnacentral:rRNA from 1 species